rnacentral:lncRNA from 1 species
AGAAUGUUUGCUGAAGCCCGAGCAAGGAUGAACAAUGGAGCUGCCAAACCAAAGGAGCCUGCAUUAGAACCACAGAAUCAACCCCAACAGCCCCCACAACCUCAACUGCAGCUGCAUCCUCAAGCACAGCAGCCUCCACAACCCCAAUCGCAACUGCAUCAUCCUCAAUCACAGCAGCCCCUGCAUCCUCAACUGCAACCGUAUACUCAGGCUCCACCACAGCAACCCCUGCAUCCUCAACUGCAACCGUAUACUCAGGCUCCACCACAGCAACCCCUACAACCUCCACUGCAGCUGUAUCCUCAGGCUCAACCUGAGCAACCCCUGCAGCCUCAAUCCUCAGGAUCAACCACAGGAAC